rnacentral:rRNA from 1 species
UACAGAGGGGGCAAGCGUUGUUCGGAAUUACUGGGCGUAAAGGGCGCGUAGGCGGCUUUCUAAGUCGGAUGUGAAAUCCCCGGGCUCAACCCGGGAACUGCGUCCGAUACUGGAAGGCUUGAAUCCGGGAGAGGGAUGUGGAAUUCCAGGUGUAGCGGUGAAAUGCGUAGAUAUCUGGAGGAACACCGGUGGCGAAGGCGGCAUCCUGGACCGGUAUUGACGCUGAGGCGCGAAAGCCAGGGGAGCAAACAGG